rnacentral:rRNA from 1 species
GUGUGACUCGUCACACUAUCAUUAACUGAAUCCAUAGGUUAAUGAGGCGAACCGGGGGAACUGAAACAUCUAAGUACCCCGAGGAAAAGAAAUCAACCGAGAUUCCCCCAGUAGCGGCGAGCGAACGGGGAGGAGCCCAGAGCCUGAAUCAGCAUGUGUGUUAGUGGAAGCGUCUGGAAAGGCGCGCGAUACAGGGUGACAGCCCCGUACACAAAAGCGCAUGUGCUGUGAGCUCGAUGAGUAGGGCGGGACACGUGGUAUCCUGUCUGAAUAUGGGGGGACCAUCCUCCAAGGCUAAAUACUCCUGACUGACCGAUAGUGAACCAGUACCGUGAGGGAAAGGCGAAAAGAACCCCGGCGAGGGGAGUGAAAAAGAACCUGAAACCGUGUACGUACAAGCAGUGGGAGCCCCACCACCAAAGCAUUUGCUGUACCGCGUUGACGGAGCGAAGCGACGUCAAACCG